rnacentral:rRNA from 1 species
GAUGAACGCUGGCGGCGUGCCUAAUACAUGCAAGUCGAGCGAACGGACGAGAAACUUGCUUCUCUGAUGUUAGCGGCGGACGGGUGAGUAACACGUGGAUAACCUACCUAUAAGACUGGGAUAACUUCGGGAAACCGGAGCUAAUACCGGAUAAUAUUUUGAACCGCAUGGUUCAGAAGUGAAAGACGGUCUUGCUGUCACUUAUAGAUGGAUCCGCGCUGCAUUAGCUAGUUGGUAAGGUAACGGCUUACCAAGGCAACGAUGCAUAGCCGACCUGAGAGGGUGAUCGGCCACACUGGAACUGAGACACGGUCCAGACUCCUACGGGAGGCAGCAGUAGGGAAUCUUCCGCAAUGGGCGAAAGCCUGACGGAGCAACGCCGCGUGAGUGAUGAAGGUCUUCGGAUCGUAAAACUCUGUUAUUAGGGAAGAACAUAUGUGUAAGUAACUGUGCACAUCUUGACGGUACCUAAUCAGAAAGCCACGGCUAACUACGUG